CUUAUUAAGAGCGAGGAAGGGACGGGCCCUGUGAACUCGCGGCAACCACGAGGAAUACUUCGAAGGUGCCAAUUCCCGCGGCUAUUAUGCCGGCAGAUGAGG
rnacentral:ncRNA from 1 species